GACAGGUAUCACAUUUCACUUGCCGUUUGGCACAACAAUGGCAUAGAUGUCGGCCCAUUCUCCCUUCUAUAAAUUCUACCAUCGAUCUUAACCUCACCUCACCUCACACCCCCUUAGUUAUUCGAUAUUAGCUCUCUUGUCUCUUACAAGUUACAAUAAUUUCUAUGGCUUCAGAGAUCGACAACAGCAACAACAGCCUACUAAGAGAUCAGAGAAAGGGAAAGGCAGCUAUGGAAGCUGAUUAUUAUGACCAUGAUCAUGAUGAUCGUCAUUGUGAUCACUACUUCUAUGAUCAUCAUGAUUAUCUGGGCAAUGAACUCGACGAAACAUCAAUUCUUCAGGCUCAAUUAGCUUUGAGUUAUAAUAAUCUUGACAUAACUCUUUCUCAACUACCCUCAACCAGCAGCCAACCCAGUCAUCUUCAUACUGAUUAUUUUAAUAAGAACAGAUGUAGUAACACAAAUGAUGAUGACGUACUAGAGAAAGUGAAGAAGAAACUCACUACUCUAUAUGCUGGCCAGGAAAAAGAUGACGUCAUACUCGAAUGGUAGAACUGUCUCUACCAUCAUUCUUCUCCUCCCCAUUUAACUUAAAAUAGAUUAUAUACAUAUAUAUAUAAAUAGUUAAGAAAAAUAUAUAUAAUUGAUUUAUAAUGACUAACUAUGUAUGCUUUUUCUGUCUCUGUAAUCUGCAUGACUACUCCCACUUGUGAAAUAAAUGGCUUUGGACUGCAGGAUGGAGGAGAUCAUGAAAGGGCUCAAGGAAGUGCGGGAGGAGCUGACCACCUUGAAGAAAGAUAUUGGUUGCAGGCCCAACACAGCUGCCUGAGGCAGAUCAUGGGGGAAGAGGAAAUGUGAAGAGGGAUGGUGAGAACAGACUGAACAGUUAUAGCUAGACAUAAAUUUAUAUAGCUGUUUUUUUCUACCGUUACUGAUCACUGCUUGGUUAUGUAUGUACUAGUCGUCGUCGAGUUUAACAAAGUGUCGUUUGGUAUUGGUAAUUAGCAUGUUGUUUGUGUAAAUUUUAUGUCGUUUGCAAGAUGGUGGUGGUACAAUCCUAAUUAGGACAACGUUUCAAUACGUUUGAAUAAAAUGAACAAAUUAUCAGA